GGUACCAAAUGACCAGUUCAAAAGUAUCUUUACCACUCCGUUGGAACACAGACAAGUGAACGAACCAGUGGACUUCUUUGCCGCCUCACCAAUAACCAGCGAGGCAUUUACGAUGGAAUACAUCGACAUUAGCAAAGAACAUUAUUUACAUUUGACGGAUAUUUGGAACUUGUAGUUCUUGCUAACAACAACAUUACAGCUGAUAUC